AUUGAACGCUGGCGGCAGGCCUAACACAUGCAAGUCGAGCGGAUGAAGGGAGCUUGCUCCUGGAUUCAGCGGCGGACGGGUGAGUAAUGCCUAGGAAUCUGCCUGGUAGUGGGGGAUAACGUCCGGAAACGGGCGCUAAUACCGCAUACGUCCUGAGGGAGAAAGUGGGGGAUCUUCGGACCUCACGCUACCAGAUGAGCCUAGGUCGGAUUAGCUAGUUGGUGGGGUAAAGGCCUACCAAGGCGACGAUCCGUAACUGGUCUGAGAGGGUGAUCAGUCACUGGAACUGAGACACGGUCCAGACUCCUACGGGAGGCAGCAGUGGGGAAUAUUGGACAAAGGGCGAAAGCCUGAUCCAGCCAUGCCGCGUGUGUGAAGAAGGUCUUCGGAUUGUAAAGCACUUUAAGUUGGGAGGAAGGGCAGUAAGUUAAUACCUUGCUGUUUUGACGUUACCAACAGAAUAAGCACCGGCUAACUUCGUG
rnacentral:rRNA from 1 species